AAAUGAAUAGACGGGGGCCCGCACAAGCGGUGGAGCAUGUGGUUUAAUUCGAUGCAACGCGAAGAACCUUACCAAGGCUUGACAUGGGGACGACAGGGGUAGAGAUACCCCCUUCUUCGGACGUCCCACACAGGUGGUGCAUGGUUGUCGUCAGCUCGUGUCGUGAGAUGUUGGGUUAAGUCCCGCAACGAGCGCAACCCUUACUUUCAGUAGCCAGCGCGUAGCGGCGGGCACUCUGGAGGGACUGCCGUGGAUAACACGGAGGAAGGCGGGGAUGAGGUCAAAUCAUCAUGCCCCUUAUGCCUUGGGCAACACACGUGCUACAAUGGCCGCAACAAAGCGAAGCGAACCGGCGACGGGGAGCGAAGCGCAAAAAAGCGGUCACAGUUCGGAUUGCAGGCUGCAACUCGCCUGUAUGAAGCCGGAAUCGCUAGUAAUCGCGAAUCAGAAUGUCGCGGUGAAUACGUUCCCGGGCCUUGUACACACCGCCCGU
rnacentral:rRNA from 1 species